rnacentral:rRNA from 1 species
AGACCCGAAACCCGGUGAUCUAGCCAUGGGCAGGUUGAAGGUUGGGUAACACUAACUGGAGGACCGAACCGACUAAUGUUGAAAAAUUAGCGGAUGACCUGUGGCUGGGGGUGAAAGGCCAAUCAAACCGGGAGAUAGCUGGUUCUCCCCGAAAGCUAUUUAGGUAGCGCCUCGUGAAUUCAUCUCCGGGGGUAGAGCACUGUUUCGGCUAGGGGGCCAUCCCGGCUUACCAACCCGAUGCAAACUGCGAAUACCGGAGAAUGUUAUCACGGGAGACACACGGCGGGUGCUAACGUCCGUCGUGAAGAGGGAAACAACCCAGACCGCCAGCUAAGGUCCCAAAGUCAUGGUUAAGUGGGAAACGAUGUGGGAAGGCCCAGACAGCCAGGAUGUUGGCUUAGAAGCAGCCAUCAUUUAAAGAAAGCGUAAUAGCUCACUGGUCGAGUCGGCCUGCGCGGAAGAUGUAACGGGGCUAAACCAUGCACCGAAGCUGCGGCAGCGACGCUGAUGCGUUGUUGGGUAGGGGAGCGUUCUGUAAGCCUGCGAAGGUGGCCUGUGAGGGUUGCUGGAGGUAUCAGAAGUGCGAAUGCUGACAUAAGUAACGAUAAAGCGGGUGAAAAGCCCGCUCGCCGGAAGACCAAGGGUUCCUGUCCAACGUU